rnacentral:lncRNA from 1 species
GGGCCGGAAAGGAACUUAACCCAUCGUUGCUGGGGGCUGUCGCUCCUUACCGGGCCGUCGCGCCUUACAAAGAGGAAUGAUUGUUGGUUUUUUUUUUUUUUAAUGAAUGGAGGGCGGCGGCAAGCAGCAGCUGCAGCUGGAUCAGCUGCGCGUGCUGUACCCCACCCGGCCUGGGAAAGAAGGGGAACCUGGCAGAGCUGGAUGUCCCUGCCUGUUGUUGUGGCUGUUACUGAUGGAUGAUGCAGAUGAUGAAGAUUUCACUUCAAGUCUCAACACGGUGUUCCAGCAUGGGAUGCAGCAAGGUGAUAAGUGCCCUGAAUUCUUUUUGGAGGAAGAAAAAAAAUACACAAUUGAAGCAGCAAUUUGUAUUCUUUCCUUUUAGAAAGGUAGAAACAGGCUUGAAUCUGCAAGGAAGCUGGUAAGUUGUUUUUUAAAAAUUUAUUUAUGUAUCACUCUGA